GGGCGAUUAGCUCAGCUGGUUCAGAGCACCUCGUUUACACCGAGGGGGUCAGGGGUUCGAAUCCCUUAUCGCCCACCA
rnacentral:tRNA from 1 species